ensembl:snRNA U6 U6 spliceosomal RNA
GUGCUCACUUCGGCAGCACAUAUACUAAAAUUGGAAUGAUACAGAGAAGAUUAGCAUGGCCCCUGUGCAAGGAUGACAUGCAAAUUCGUGAAGCGUUCCAUAUUUAA